UACAGAGGGUGCAAGCGUUAAUCGGAAUUACUGGGCGUAAAGGGUGCGUAGGUGGUUAAUUAAGUCAGAUGUGAAAUCCCCGGGCUUAACCUGGGAAUUGCAUUUGAAACUGGUUGACUAGAGUACGGUAGAGGGAAGUGGAAUUUCCGGUGUAGCGGUGAAAUGCGUAGAUAUCGGAAGGAACAUCAGUGGCGAAGGCGACUUCCUGGACCGUUACUGACACUGAGGCACGAAAGCGUGGGGAG
rnacentral:rRNA from 1 species